rnacentral:rRNA from 1 species
ACGAACGCUGGCGGCGUGCUUAACACAUGCAAGUCGCACGGAAAGGCCCUGCUUUUGUGGGGUGCUUGAGUGGCGAACGGGUGAGUAACACGUGAGUAACCUGCCCUUGACUUUGGGAUAACUUCAGGAAACUGGGGCUAAUACCGGAUAGGAGCUCCUGCUGCAUGGUGGGGGUUGGAAAGUUUCGGCGGUUGGGGAUGGACUCGCGGCUUAUCAGCUUGUUGGUGGGGUAGUGGCUUACCAAGGCUUUGACGGGUAGCCGGCCUGAGAGGGUGACCGGCCACAUUGGGACUGAGAUACGGCCCAGACUCCUACGGGAGGCAGCAGUGGGGAAUAUUGCACAAUGGGCGGAAGCCUGAUGCAGCAACGCCGCGUGCGGGAUGACGGCCUUCGGGUUGUAAACCGCUUUCGCCUGUGACGAAGCGUGAGUGACGGUAAUGGGUAAAGAAGCACCGGCUAACUACGUG